rnacentral:tRNA from 1 species
CGGGGUGUGGCUCAGUUGGUAGAGCGCCUGGUUUGGGACCAGGAUGUCGCAGGUUCGAAUCCUGUCACUCCGA